rnacentral:tRNA from 1 species
GCCCUUAUAGCUCAACGGACAGAGCAGACCCGUCCUAAGGGUAAGAUGGAAGUUCGAUUCUUCCUAAGGGCA